CAGUACCGCGGGAAUACGUAGGGUGCGAGCGUUAAUCGGAAUUACUGGGCGUAAAGCGUGCGCAGGCGGUUAUAUAAGACAGAUGUGAAAUCCCCGGGCUCAACCUGGGACCUGCAUUUGUGACUGUAUAGCUAGAGUACGGUAGAGGGGGAUGGAAUUCCGCGUGUAGCAGUGAAAUGCGUAGAUAUGCGGAGGAACACCGAUGGCGAAGGCAAUCCCCUGGUCCUGUACUGACGCUCAUGCACGAAAGCGUGGGGAGCAAACAGGAUUAGAUACCCCCGUAGUCCCUGUCUCUUAUACC
rnacentral:rRNA from 1 species